AGCAGUGUGGCUUAGUGGAAAGAGCACAGGCCUUGGAGUCAGAAGGACCUGGGUUCUAAUCCCCGCUCUGCCA
rfam:Ornithorhynchus anatinus chromosome 1, whole genome shotgun sequence.